AAGUCGUAACAAGGUUUCCGUAGGUGAACCUGCGGAAGGAUCAUUAGUGAAUUUUAGGGUGCCCUCUCGCCUCUCCUUUAACUGGGUUGGCGUUAGAGGGGCCUGACCUCCACUUUCUACCCUGUGCACUAUUUCUAAAGGUUCAGUCGAAGGGUUAACGCCUUUCUUCUGACCUUUUCAAUUCAUAAACACGAGUUAAAGAAUGUAUUAAAAAUCAUAACAAAAAAAACUUUCAACAACGGAUCUCUUGGCUCUC
rnacentral:misc_RNA from 1 species